UUCCAGAUCCCACCCUGCUGGAACACUCCUGCUAACAUCCCUGGGGUCCAACUAUCACAGGCCUUUAUCUAGGCCAAUGCUCUAGAAAGCAGAGAGCUCAGUUGAAGUUGGUCAAGAGUCCACUGCAGCUGCUUCACAUUUAAAUGGCACGUACAAGAUUAUGAAGCUUUCCUGGCUGCUGAGGAGCUC